CAGUCGCCACGGGAAUACAGUGGAUGCAAGCGUUAUCCGGAAUGAUUGGGCGUAAAGCGUGCGCAGGCGGUUGUGUAAGACAGGUGUGAAAUCCCCGGGCUUAACCUGGGGACUGCGCUUGUGACUGCACAGCUAGAGUAUGGCAGAGGGGGGUGGAAUUCCACGUGUAGCAGUGAAAUGCGUAGAGAUGUGGAGGAACACCGAUGGCGAAGGCAGCCCCCUGGGCCAAUACUGACGCUCAUGCACGAAAGCGUGGGGAGCAAACAGGAUUAGAUACCCGCGUAGUCCCUGUCUCUUAUAC
rnacentral:rRNA from 1 species